UUUAAUUGAAGAGUUUGAUCAUGGCUCAGAUUGAACGCUGGCGGCAGGCCUAACACAUGCAAGUCGAGCGGUAACAUUUCUAGCUUGCUAGAAGAUGACGAGCGGCGGACGGGUGAGUAAUACUUGGGGAUCUGCCUGAUGGCGGGGGACAACCACUGGAAACGGUGGCUAAUACCGCAUAAUGUCUUCGGACCAAAGUAUGGGACCUUCGGGCCAUACACCAUCAGAGGAACCCAAGCGAGAUUAGCUAGUAGGUGAGGUAAAGGCUCACCUAGGCGACGAUCUCUAGCUGUUCUGAGAGGAAGAUCAGCCACACUGGGACUGAGACACGGCCCAGACUCCUACGGGAGGCAGCAGUGGGGAAUAUUGGACAAUGGGGGCAACCCUGAUCCAGCCAUGCCGCGUGUGUGAAGAAGGCCUUCGGGUUGUAAAGCACUUUCAGUGGUGAGGAAGGGGAGUAUGUUAAUAGCGUACUUCAUUGACGUUAGCCACAGAAGAAGCACCGGCUAACUCCGUGCCAGCAGCCGCGGUAAUACGGAGGGUGCGAGCGUUAAUCGGAAUUACUGGGCGUAAAGCGCACGCAGGCGGCUUGUUAAGCCAGAUGUGAAAGCCCCGGGCUCAACCUGGGAGGGUCAUUUGGAACUGGCAAGCUAGAGUCUUGGAGAGGGGAGUGGAAUUCCAGGUGUAGCGGUGAAAUGCGUAGAGAUCUGGAGGAACAUCAGUGGCGAAGGCGGCUCCCUGGCCAAAGACUGACGCUCAUGUGCGAAAGUGUGGGUAGCGAACAGGAUUAGAUACCCUGGUAGUCCACACCGUAAACGCUGUCUACUAGCUGUGUGCGAAUUUAAUUUGUGCGUAGCGAAGCUAACGCGCUAAGUAGACCGCCUGGGGAGUACGGCCGCAAGGUUAAAACUCAAAUGAAUUGACGGGGGCCCGCACAAGCGGUGGAGCAUGUGGUUUAAUUCGAUGCAACGCGAAGAACCUUACCUACUCUUGACAUACUGGGAAUUUAGCAGAGAUGCUUUAGUGCCUUCGGGAAUCCAGAUACAGGUGCUGCAUGGCUGUCGUCAGCUCGUGUCGUGAGAUGUUGGGUUAAGUCCCGCAACGAGCGCAACCCUUGUCCUUAGUUGCCAGCAUUAGGUUGGGCACUCUAAGGAGACUGCCGGUGACAAACCGGAGGAAGGUGGGGACGACGUCAAGUCAUCAUGGCCCUUACGAGUAGGGCUACACACGUGCUACAAUGGUUGGUACAGAGGGAAGCGAGACCGCGAGGUGGAGCGGAUCCCUUAAAGCCAAUCGUAGUCCGGAUCGGAGUCUGCAACUCGACUCCGUGAAGUCGGAAUCGCUAGUAAUCGCAGGUCAGCAUACUGCGGUGAAUACGUUCCCGGGCCUUGUACACACCGCCCGUCACACCAUGGGAGUGGGAUGCAAAAGAAGUGGUUAGCUUAACCUUCGGGAGGGCGAUCACCACUUUGUGUUUCAUGACUGGGGUGAAGUCGUAACAAGGUAACCCUAGGGGAACCUGGGGUUGGAUCACCUCCUUAC
rnacentral:rRNA from 1 species